AACGAAAAAAAAUGUGUUCGAAGAUAAUACCUGAAGAAAAAAAAAAUUAUAAAAAAUGAAAAACAGGGCGAGCGAGUCCCACGCGACCGCAGCUCUAUAUACAGCUGAGAAGGCGCCGUCGAAGGCAAUGGAUUGGUUCAUAUAUCGAACUUGGGAUGCAAACCUGACAACAUGAGCACGGUGUUGACGAUGGAUGUCGAAUCCAGCAUCGAGCGGAGAAGGAGGAGGUUGCAGAGCGCAGCGUUGAUGAUGGAUCUGAGGAUCAAGAUCGUUUGACGACUUCUGAGGAGGAAGAGCUCCAACGCUGCACCGAUCCUAUACGAGAACAGCGAGGAAGCUUAUGUUAAGCCUCCAGAGUACCGAAGAGGCCGGCGUUGACCUCUCUGCUGCUUGAUCCAUUCGUCCAGAACUGCACAAGUUUCAUCAUGCUGGGAGAAAAUUGCAGAGAGUCUACUUUUCCUAAGUGAUUCAAGGUCAACUGCGUGCAUUUAUUUUGAUUCACUUGAUCAAAUUUAGGAAGAUAUGCUAUUGAAACCAUCUAAUUAUGCUCUAGAUUGGUGACUUUGAUAUGUAUGUUUCAAGGGACAUAUCUACUCCAAAUGCUCUGAUUCUCGCUAUUAAUCCAAAUAUGCUGCCAACUCAAGCACCACCAAUUCUAAGCAAGCCAAGGUCUGAAUCAGGUCCUUUACCUCCAGCUGUGACACAGAAAGCAUGUCAUACACCUCCAAACAUGAAGUCAGCUGCAAUUGGGCUUUUAGAGUUAAAAAGGAAAAGGCAGCCCCCUAGCUGUAAGGAGGUAACCACAAGUAGUUUCACAUGUUUUGUCAAGUCGUCCGUCUGCACUCUUGUGGUGAUAAUAUUAUUCCUCUGCCAAAACAAUGAGAAAAAUCAUCUCCUGUUUAUUUAGCAAUCCAUUCACAACAGGGAGAUACCAUAAAUUAAGAAGGCAGGUCAUUGGCUACUCUGAUCAGUUUGGUAAUGAAUUGCCAAUUGGACGGAUGUCACUGGAGAAGCUCUUAAGUUCCUCUACCAACAAGGAGCUAGGUAGCCAUAAGAACACAUAUUUAUAUUCACCCCAUGCCCAUAGAAAUUGUUAAAUGAAAUUUUUAUAGAUCAUAGUGCCGUUGUCUUUGAUUAUUUACCCCAUUUUCUGUGCAUGUUCUCUUACCCAACUUUCAUAAUAAACUUAGUCACUAAUAUGAUAUUCUAUUUGUUUCUUAUUUCCCUUUUGGGAGGAUAAAUCCUAGUUACAUCUUUGUUAAAAUAUCAUUGUUUAUCCAGUAUGAGAUGCAUUUAUGAUUUGAGCUUCAAACUGUGAAGUUGAAUCAGAUGAUACAUUUGAACCUUUA